UAGCUCAGUUGGUAGAGCAAGGUGUUUGCAACGCCAGGGUUGUGGGUUUGAUUCCCAC
rnacentral:tRNA from 1 species